GGAUGCUCAAGCAGAAAAUUGAAAUACCUUUGGGUCCAGUUAGAGACCUUCCUAGCUUUCAGCUGCCUUACUUUUGCUGAAACAAACUCAGGAUCUUAGAGAAUUUGCCCAUCUGCUCAGCAUAUUCAGGCUAAAGACCUUUGCAUCUGAUUCCUAAUGAGCUGAACUCAUCCUCCCAAAUCAAUUGGAAUGCGAGAGACUGUGCAUGCUUCUAAUAAAAAUUUGGAACCAAAAGAAGUUUAAAAAGCCGAAAGUGACUAAGUGCUGCUAUCCCAUGCCCCAAAGGACCAUGAUCGCUUGUCUGGACCCAGAAAAUAUUUCCCAUUUGCUACACAGAUGCCGUCUCAUCCUUCCAGAGUUCAAGACUUCAGCAGAAAAAAAAAUCACCUCAUUAAAGGAAAAUUGUGCCUUAUCCCCACUACUCGAAGAUGCAACCAUCUGCCUGGUCACAGCCACUUUUUUCCUUUUUUUCUCACUCCAUCGUAUGUGUGUGUGGUGGGGCAGGGGAUAAGGGGAAUAAUCUCUCUCCAGUAUAAGAAGGUAAUGAUUCAAAGAUUUAAAUGCUAAACUUCUGGGACUUCGGGACUUACUAUAAAACUAGAUAAGAUCAACAACAACAAAAACAAUGCUUUCUAUUGAAAUUUGUACAGUUUUGCAAGUUCAUUUCUGCUCUUCGUCUGUUGAAGCAUCAAUAAAGUCCAAGAAAAAUACUGGGAAUCAGAUUCAUGCCCAAAGUGACCCUGUGGCAGUUGAGGAUUGACUGGGCUAGAAGACCAAAGUUUAAAGCGCAAGUUAAUCUGAGACAGAGAAAUGAAAGAGAAGAUGAGAAAGAAAAGUGGCCUCAAAAUAAGAGGAACUAGGGUCCUGGCUCAGAGGCUCAUGCCUGUAAUUCCAUCACUUUGGGAGGCCGAGGUGGGCAGAUCACCCGAGGUCAGGAGUUCCAGACCAGCCUGGCCAACAUGGUGAAACCCCGUAUCUACUAAAAAUACAAAAAUUAGCUGGGCAUGGGGGCGCCUUAAUCCCAGCUACUUGGGAGUCAGAGACAGGAGAAUCAUUUGAAUCUGGAGGUGGAAGUUGCAGUGAGCCAAGAUCCCAGCCAUUGCACUCAAGCCUGGGGGACAAGAGCAAGACUUAUCUCAAAAAAAAAAAAAAAAAAGGAACUAGGACACAAGCAAGAACAGAAGUAGGAUAUGCAAAUGCUUUCUUUGAAAGCUGGGGGCAGGUGAAUGGCUUUCCUGUACUGCUAUAAAGGUACAAAAUGGAGGCAGGCACUCUUUAGAGAGGUUUAGUUUGAAAAUAAGAUUUUCAAACUUUACCCCCAAUGAAGUACAACUAGCCUUAAAUUCCACCCCACCCACCACCUCCACAAAAAAAGAAAAAAUAAAAAGAAAAUAUCUAUCAAAAAGCAUUAGUCAUGGAAAGGACUUAAUCUUGAAAAUGAAAGCAACAAAGUUGUUAAAUGUAGACAGACACUAAGCUGCUUACAACAAUAUUUGCUUACAUUAUAGCAUCUAAUAUAAGAUGUUAUUUGCUCAUUGUUUAUUAUGUACUCCAUGCUCUCACAAGAAGCUUAGCUUUGAUUUUUUUCUUAAUUUUGGUGGCUUAAAUUUGAAAAUUUAACUUUGCAUUAAAGGAGGGUUUUUAUUUAAUUAAAGAAUGUAUUCUGGAGCUUGAUUACAAAUUAAAAUCCAACAUUUGCUUAACGUGGAUGGGUUUACAAUUAUAGGAAAAACUUUUUGCACUUCAUGAUUUAGUGGCUGUUUAACUUUGUACUCAAUAUAGUAAUUAAUAUAUGUUGCUGCAUUUAAUUUUCUGUUUAAUUUUUUAAAAUAAAAAGGUAAAGGAUGUUUGCUGCUUUUAAGGAGAUUUACCUGCAUAACUUCAUUACUCUGCGUGAUCGUAUAAUGGCCCCAUCUGAGUUAUCCACCAAACUGAUGUUUAUACCUACAAUGUCAUCUGUUCUCUUUCAAAACUAAUUGUGUCACACCAUUGGUGUUGGUUUAUAUUAUACUUAUUUGAUAGGCCUAGAUUUAUUAAAUAUCUUUUAUGACACUUGGGCUAAGUUAUGCUUAUAUAGAAAUGUAAUAUAC
rnacentral:lncRNA from 10 species